CGGACCUUGUCCGGGCUGGUGGCAGGUCGGGUUAGGGGCCUGAGAAGACAGGGUGACCUCAGCCCCUGCCCUGGAAUGCAUGCACUCGGGCUGGGCUCUGGGUCUCCACCUGCGUUGCAGUGUGCAGAGAUAAAUUCCCGGGACAGUGCUGAUGAGCCUCGUUCUAGGCCACCCGGGCAGGAGUGGAUGGAGAGCCUCCUGCAUUCCCGAAACUUACAGACACAGAGCCAUGAAUUCACAACGGGACCUCACUAAGCAUCUCUUUGACCUACAGGGAGGGCCGCUGGCCCCAGUGUUGUUUGUGGGACACGUCAGGACAAUGUCGGUGGAAUUGCUCAUCUGCUCCCUUCCCACCCUGUGACUUCCUUCAACCUGAAAUCCCGUCUGAUUCCUCGUGGGCUCCUCCAGUGCAGGACCGACACGCAUCACUUUUUAACACAGACUUUUGGACUUCAGACCAAGUCUGAGUACGAAUGGUGGCUUAUGUUUUCAGUUUUUCUUUUACCUCUCAAGAGUCUAGGAGCACAAUGCCUCUUGUGAAAAUGCUCAACAUUUUAAUUUUGACUUAACUUGAAUAAAGUAGCCAUCCGGACCCCCUA